GGGGUUGUGGUCUAGCUUGGUAUGAUGCCGGUCUUGGGCACCGGAGGUCCCCGGUUCGAAUCCGGGCAGCCCCA
rnacentral:tRNA from 1 species